rnacentral:rRNA from 1 species
GUGGGGAAUUUUGGACAAUGGGCGCAAGCCUGAUCCAGCAAUGCCGCGUGAGUGAAGAAGGCCUUCGGGUUGUAAAGCUCUUUUGUCAGGGAAGAAACGGUGGACUCUAAUACAGAUCACUAAUGACGGUACCUGAAGAAUAAGCACCGGCUAACUACGUGCCAGCAGCCGCGGUAAUACGUAGGGUGCAAGCGUUAAUCGGAAUUACUGGGCGUAAAGCGUGCGCAGGCGGUUUGGUAAGACAGAUGUGAAAUCCCUGGGCUCAACCUAGGAAUUGCAUUUGUGACUGCCCGGCUAGAGUGUGUCAGAGGGGGGUAGAAUUCCACGUGUAGCAGUGAAAUGCGUAGAGAUGUGGAGGAAUACCGAUGGCGAAGGCAGCCCCCUGGGAUAACACUGACGCUCAUGCACGAAAGCGUGGGGAGCAAACAGGAUUAGAAACCCUGGUAGUCC